CGGCCACGCGUUCCCCCACCGCCCUCGCCCUCGCCCUCCCCUCCCCUCCCCUCCCCGGCGACGAGCACAGCGAGACCGCCGCCGCCGCUCGCCGGGCACGCGGGCGAGAUGAACCCCUUCGCGAAGAAGCCAACGCCGCGAGAGGCGAUCAGGAACAGCAAGCGCGAGCUGACGAACGCUACCAGAGGUAUUGAGAGAGAUAUCGGAACGUUGCAGCUAGAGGAAAAGAAGCUAGUUGCCGAAAUCAAAAGGACUGCAAAAACUGGCAAUGAGGCAGCAACUAGAAUUCUGGCCCGUCAGCUGAUCAGGUUAAGACAGCAAAUUUCUAAUUUACAAGGUAGCAGAGCUCAGAUUAGGGGCAUUGCGACACAUACACAGGCAAUGCAUGCCAACACUUCAGUGGCUGCUGGCAUGCAAAGUGCGAGCAAAGCAAUGGGAGCUUUGAACAAGCAAAUGGAUCCAGCCAAACAGAUGAAAGUGAUGCAAGAAUUCCAGAAACAGUCGGCACAAAUGGAUAUGACGAAUGAGAUGAUGUCUGACUCCAUCGACAAUAUCUUAGACGACGAUCAAGCUGAGGAAGAAACCGAAGACCUUGCUAAUCAGGUUCUGGAUGAGAUUGGUGUUGACAUUGCCUCACAGUUGUCCUCAGCUCCUAAAGGAAGGAUUGCUGGAAAGCAGGUUCAAGCUGAUGAAAGAACUGGACGAACUCGAGAAGCGGCUUGCUGCUCUGAAAAAUCCAUAAAAAGAGGGGACUUCUCUGUAACCCCCACAUUUUACACACAGAGUUAGGAGGCUGAUCUAGUGAGAUUGUUUUUCAACGGACCGCUUCUUGUGUUGUCAAGAUGGGAUGUAACUUCACCAACUCAUCGUGGAAGUGUGGAUCUAGACCGAAGCUUAGAUGGCACUCGGCGAAUGUAGAUCUGAACAGCGCCACCCAUGCUCCCUCUCCCAUGUCCGGCGGGAUCGAGGCCGCCGGCGAGCUCAAUGAGUCAUGGACGAUGGUGGGGCCCAUGUAGGGGCAUGAGGAGUUGGAGACAUGACCUCCACAGCGUGGCCCCCUGCCGUGCCCUUGCGCCACCCUCUCUAUCCUCCACGGCUACCGACGACGAACGUGGCGUGGUGAGACUACUCACCACGUCCCCGUAUUGUGAAUGCUCUUAACACCUAUGAUGGUUUAACAUGUCCUCGUGCAGAAACAAACAAUAAGCACAAAACCAUAAUAAUGGAGAUGGGAAUGGUGUAAUUGCAAAGAAUAAAUCCCCAAAACAUGUUUAUACGUUACACUUGGAUACGCUAUUUUGUAGACGAAGAUGAAAGAUUAUGAUUUUUGUU